rnacentral:rRNA from 1 species
UACGUAGAGUAGCAACGACGGUGUCCGGAACUUAAGUUGGGUCGGUAAAGGGUACGUAGGCGGAUAGUAAAGUCAAGCGUGAAAGGUGUCGGCUUAACCGACAGACUGCGUUUGAAACUGAUUAUCUUGAGUGUAACAGAGGAGAGUGGAAUUCCUAGUGUAGUGGUGAAAUACGUAGAUAUUAGGAAGAACACCAGUGGCGAAGGCGACUCUCUGGGUUAACACUGAACGCUGAGGUACGAAAGCUGGGGGAGCAAACGGGAUUAGGAUACCCGGGUAGU